rnacentral:rRNA from 1 species
CAGCAGCCACGGUAAUACAGAGGGUGCAAGCGUUAAUCGGAAUUACUGGGCGUAAAGCGCGCGUAGGUGGUUUGUUAAGUUGGAUGUGAAAUCCCCGGGCUCAACCUGGGAACUGCAUCCAAAACUGGCAAGCUAGAGUAUGGUAGAGGGUGGUGGAAUUUCCUGUGUAGCGGUGAAAUGCGUAGAUAUAGGAAGGAACACCAGUGGCGAAGGCGACCACCUGGACAAAGACUGACGCUCAGGUGCGAAAGCGUGGGGAGCAAACAGGAUUAGAUACCCGCGUAGUCCCUGUCUCUUAUAC